GCCCGAGUGGUGGAAUCGGUAGACACAAGAGAUUUAAAAUCACUCGCUUUUCGAAGCGAGCCAAUACAAGUCUGGCUUAGGGCACCA
rnacentral:tRNA from 1 species